UAUAUUUGUGUGGUUGUAAGAGAAAGAGAAAGAAAAGGAUAAGAAGAGUAGGUAGUAAGUAAGAAAGAGUUAUCAGAAAGAAAGAAAAGAAGAAAGGGGAAAGUAGAUAAGAGGAAAAGAGAAGAAAGAAGAAGAGAGAAAGAAGGAAGAAAGGCUUGGAGGAGAAAAGGAAAAGCUCAUCAUCACCAUUUUCUACUCAUCAUCCUCACCAACUUCAUC
rnacentral:lncRNA from 1 species